CUGUUAAGUGAGAAAAAAAGGCUCAUCAGUAAUAUGGGUGAGGGAUGAUAGUACCACUAGAGAAAGCACUGGCUAAUCUCGUGC
rnacentral:rRNA from 1 species